GAAUCAUUCCUUUCCCUCUUCCUCCCUAACCUGUUCUUUCUUUCCACUAGAAUCCUUGCCCAGAGUCCAGCGCCUCCUUCCUGUCCAGGAACACCUUCUGGUGGAUCACAGGAUUGAUCAUCCGGGGAUACCACCAGCCCCUGGAGAGCAGUGGCCUCUGGUCCUUAAACGAGGAGGACACAUCGGAACAAGUCAUGCCUGCUUUGGUAAAGAAUUGGAAGAAGAAACGCACCAAGUCUAGGAAGGAUGCCCAGGAUACAGGCCUUCAGUCAGACGCAGAUGGUGGGUGGAAAUCUGGGACAUCCAUGAUGCCAGCCACUUGGACAUCAGCAGAGGACCUCAUG